CGGCAACAGCUCAAAUUUGAAAUCUGGCUCUCGGGCCCGAGUUGUAAUUUGUAGAGGAUGCGUCGGGUACGGGUCCCUACCGAGUUCCCUGGAACGGGACGCCAUAGAGGGUGAGAGCCCCGUCUGGUAGGAUACCCAGCCCUUGUGACGCUCCCUCGAC
rnacentral:rRNA from 1 species